rnacentral:misc_RNA from 1 species
GAAAUGCGAUAAGUAAUGUGAAUUGCAGAAUUCAGUGAAUCAUCGAAUCUUUGAACGCACCUUGCGCCCUUUGGUAUUCCGAAGGGCAUGCCUGUUUGAGUGUCAUUAAAUUCUCAACCUUAGAAGGCUUUUGUUUUCUAAGGCUUGGAUGUGGGAGUUGCGGGCUUGUACAAGUCGGCUCUUCUGAAAUGUAUUAGCUGGGUUUGCGCCUUCAGCCUAUUGGUGUGAUAAUUAUCUACGCCUUCAGGUCGUUAGCGUGUAUAAACCUUUCCAGCUUCUAAUCGUCCGCAAGGACAACACUUGACCAUUUGACCUCAAAUCAGGUAGGACUACCCGCUGAACUUAA